rnacentral:rRNA from 1 species
AAAUCAGUAUCGUUUAUUUGAUAGUACCUUACUACUUGGAUAACCGUGGUAAUUCUAGAGCUAAUACAUGCUAAAAACCUCGACUUCGGAAGGGGUGUAUUUAUUAGAUAAAAAACCAAUGCCCUUCGGGGCUCCUUGGUGAUUCAUGAUAACUUAACGAAUCGCAUGGCCUUGUGCCGGCGAUGGUUCAUUCAAAUUUCUGCCCUAUCAACUUUCGAUGGUAGGAUAGUGGCCUACCAUGGUUUCAACGGGUAACGGGGAAUUAGGGUUCUAUUCCGGAGAGGGAGCCUGAGAAACGGCUACCACAUCCAAGGAAGGCAGCAGGCGCGCAAAUUACCCAAUCCCGACACGGGGAGGUAGUGACAAUAAAUACUGAUACGGAGCUCUUUUGGGUUUCGUAAUUGGAAUGAGUACAAUUUAAAUCCCUUAACGAGGAACAAUUGGAGGGCAAGUCUGGUGCCAGCAGCCGCGGUAAUUCCAGCUCCAAUAGCGUAUAUUAAAGUUGUUGCAGUUAAAAAGCUCGUAGUUGAACCUUGGGCCUGGCUGGCCGGUCCGCCUCACCGCGUGCACUGGUCCGGCCGGGCCUUUCCUUCUGGGGAACCGCAUGCCCUUCACUGGGUGUGUCGGGGAUCCAGGACUUUUACUUUGAAAAAAUUAGAGUGUUCAAAGCAGGCCUAUGCUCGAAUACAUUAGCAUGGAAUAAUAGAAUAGGACGUGUGGUUCUAUUUUGUUGGUUUCUAGGACCGCCGUAAUGAUUAAUAGGGAUAGUCGGGGGCAUCAGUAUUCAAUUGUCAGAGGUGAAAUUCUUGGAUUUAUUGAAGACUAACUACUGCGAAAGCAUUUGCCAAGGAUGUUUUCAUUAAUCAGUGAACGAAAGUUAGGGGAUCGAAGACGAUCAGAUACCGUCGUAGUCUUAACCAUAAACUAUGCCGACUAGGGAUCGGGCGAUGUUAUUAUUUUGACUCGCUCGGCACCUUACGAGAAAUCAAAGUUUUUGGGUUCUGGGGGGAGUAUGGUCGCAAGGCUGAAACUUAAAGAAAUUGACGGAAGGGCACCAAAACCUACUGGUGGUGCCGCCCGAGUCCUACACGGGCGAGGCCUCUGAACUGUUAGGGAACAGCCGUACGGCGUACCCGCAGCCCCCUAGGGGCUCACAGGUCAAGUGGAGGUCGGCGGUGCACCGCUUAAGAUAUGAUCGGCCUCGGAGCGUCAGCUCGGAGACAAGUGCCAGGAGUGGAGCCUGCGGCUUAAUUUGACUCAACACGGGGAAACUCACCAGGUCCAGACACAAUAAGGAUUGACAGAUUGAGAGCUCUUUCUUGAUUUUGUGGGUGGUGGUGCAUGGCCGUUCCUAGUUGGUGGAGUGAUUUGUCUGCUUAAUUGCGAUAACGAACGAGACCUUAACCUGCUAAAUAGCCAGGCUAGCUUUGGCUGGUCGCCGGCUUCUUAGAGGGACUAUCGGCUCAAGCCGAUGGAAGUUUGAGGCAAUAACAGGUCUGUGAUGCCCUUAGAUGUUCUGGGCCGCACGCGCGCUACACUGACAGAGUCAACGAGUUCAU